rnacentral:rRNA from 1 species
AGAGUUUGAUCCUGGCUCAGGACGAACGCUGGCGGCGUGCCUAAUACAUGCAAGUCGAACGGUCUUUUCUAUGGAAGCUUGCUUCCACUGAGAAGAUAGUGGCGAACGGGUGAGUAACACGUGGGUAACCUGCCCAUAAGAGGGGGAUAACAUCCGGAAACGGGUGCUAAUACCGCAAGUUUUCUUGAUCGCAUGAUCGAGAAAGGAAAGACGGCCUUUGUGCUGUCGCUUAUGGAUGGACCCCCGGCGUAUUAGUUAGUUGGUGAGGUAAUGGCUCACCMAGACGAUGAUACGUAGCCGACCUGAGAGGGUGAUCGGCCACAUUGGGACUGAGACACGGCCCMAACUCCUACSGGRGGCAGCARKRGGAAUCUUCCCMAUGGAMGAAARUYUGA